UUCUCGCUCUGCGCAUUACUCCCCAUUUUCUUCCUUCAUUCUUAUGAAUCCUUCCUUCUCGCAUGGAGCUUCUUUCUCCCAUCUCCUCUUCUCCCUCUUCAAUAACCACUCCUUCCGUUUCACUCUUCCCUGCCAAAUUUCCAAUUCUAAAUUGGCAUAACAAAACCCAAUUCAGGAUUCAACAACCCGCCUCCAAAAUCUACAGAUACCCAACUUUUAAUCUUCCAAGAUGUAGAACCAACUUGAUAGUUUUCGCUAAUUUCCCUCGUCCCACCAGACGCGGCAAUUCGCUUCGGAAGAAACUCACCCAGGAGCAACAGGUACGUCGAAUUCCCAUUCCCGACAAUUUAAAUCCUGAUUUUCAAUUGCGCGAACGAAUUUCUGAUCAUAGUGAGACUGCCAGUCGUGUUGGUGGUGAUGUUAGUGAUAACACUGUUGAAACAAAACCGAAAGGUUUAGGUGAAUCUGUUUUGUGGAAUAGAUUAGAGAAUUGGGUUGAUCAAUAUAAGCAGGAUAUUGAGUUUUGGGGGAUUGGUUCUGGUCCUAUAUUUACGAUAUUUCAAGACUCAGAUGAGAAUGUCAAAUGGGUUUCUAUUAAUGAGGAUGAAAUUUUAGCGAGAACCCAAGUUGAGAGAGUUGAUUUGGAUGACACAAAUGGAGUGAACCAUAAAAUCUCGGCUGCAAGAAGGAUUGCAAGAGAAAUGGAGAGUGGGAAGAAUGUGCUUCCAAGGAAUAGUUCAGUCGCCAAGUUUGUAAUUGAAGGAGAUGAUCAGUCUACUGUUCUGAAAGCUGCUCAGGGUUUCAAUUUUAGGCCUGAGGUUUUUACCAAGUUUUCACGAGCUGGGGGCUUAGUUCUAUGUAGUUUUCUCUUACUUUUUUCUUUGAAGAAAUUGUUCACUUUCAAAAAGGAGGAGGUUGAGUAUAGCGAAUUCGAGAAAGAAAUGAUGAGGAGGAAGAUCAAAUUUAGAAAGGGGAAAGAGGUGUUGGAGAAUGGUAGAGUUGAAGUUAUUCAAGAACGUGCAGAACCACCUAAGGUGUCAUUUGAAAAGCCCAAAUUAGAUAAGCAAGAACUUAUGCGUACUAUAGCAAAAGAAAAAUCGAAAGCAUCAGCUACCAAUCUAGGUUUAGUUGAGUCUACGGAGGCUUUGAAUGAAAGUGUUGUAGAUUUGAGUAACAAAAUUCAGGAAAUAAGAGAGAUGGCACGCGAUGCACGGGAACUUGAGGCACGAGAAGACCCCUUUUCUGUUUCUGAUGAAAGCAGUCUCUUGAAUGGAAAAUUGCCAAACGAAGAUGACAUUGUUGAACAUACAGAUGAAGGUUCCUGUUUUCCGGCUGAUGUUUUAGCACAGGAUGAGCAUGUGCUUGAAAGUGUUGAGAGUGAGCUCCCACACAGUGUAGCUUCUGAAGAGAAAAAGGAUUUGCAAAUAUCUAGCACGUCAAGCGUGGAAGUGCCACUUAAUGGCUAUAGCACCUCAUGGGAUGUUAAAGAUUGUAAGACUUCUUUAGGAGUUAUGGAUACAACGCAAUCUGAAACUUACUGUGAUACCGAGAAACUAAAAACAGAUUCCGAACAAAAGAAACUAAAAAUCUUGAGAACAGUGAAGGAAGCUAGGGAGUAUCUCUCUGAAAAACAACAAAAACAAAUGCCUGAUGAGAAAAUUCAAGGCAUAACUGCACAAGAAUUUGCUGCUGCUCCAGGGCUUUCAAAUGAUAACAUGUUGGAAAAUGUGGUGAACAAGGAAGCAGAUUCAGAAAAUAUACUGUUCAAAUCUUCCUUUUCAUUUGAGGCAUUAGAUUCGUCAUCUUUGAUUAGUGACAAUGUUGAUUCAGCACACAGUGAUAAAAGUUCCAUCUCACUCGAGGACGACCGCUCUAAAAGUUCUGUGGAAGGAGGACCCUCAGUAGGCGGCAGUCAAGAUCUCCACAAGUCAUUGGAUCGUGAAAGCAAUGAUCGUGAUGCAGAAACCAUGCCGUAUGGAGAAACAAAGAGCUGGAUGGAAGAUAAUUUUGAUGAACUUGAGCCUUUUGUUAAGAAGAUUGGAGUUGGCUUUAGAGAUAACUAUAUGGUUGCUAGAGAGAAAGGUGAACAGCAAUCUGAUGCCAUUUCUACAUUUGCACAACUUAAGUAUGAAAAUGACAAUGAAGAGGAGCUUGAGUGGAUGAAGGACGACAACCUUAGAGAUAUUGUUUUUAAGGUUAGAGAAAAUGAACUAUCGAACCGAGAUCCAUUCUAUUCAAUGGAUCCAGAGGAAAAGCGUACGUUCUUUAAGGGUCUUGAGAAGAAAGUCGAGAGAGAGAAUGAAAAGCUGUUGAAGUUGCAUAAGUGGCUCCACUCCAGCAUUGAAAAUCUUGACUAUGGAGCAGAUGGCAUCAGCAUAUACGAUCCACCCGAAAAAAUCAUUCCCCGUUGGAAGGGUCCUCCUUUAGAAAAGAACCCUGAGUUCAUCAAUGACUUCCUGGAGCAAAGAAAGGAAAUUUUCGCUGUGAAAGCUGGUUUGCCUCUUUCUACGAAUAAAGACGAGCAGAAGUCUUCUAAUCCCGAUGGUAGCAUUGAAAAUAUCAAUGAUCCCAAUAUGACAAUUCAUAACAAAGAAAGGAAAGAUUCUACGACAAUUAUAGAAAGUAGUGAUGGAUCCAUCAGACGUGGUAAAAAAUCAGGGAAGGAAUUUUGGCAACACACAAAGAAAUGGUCCCAGGGAUUUUUGGAAUCUUAUAAUGCAGAGACAGAUCCAGAAGUCAAAUCUGUUAUGAAGGAUAUUGGAAAAGAUUUAGAUCGGUGGAUUACUGAGAAAGAAGUGCAAGAAGCUGCCGAGUUAAUGGACAAGUUGCCUGAGAGGAAUAAAAACUUCAUGGAAAAGAAAUUGAACAAGCUCAAAAGAGAAAUGGAAAUGUUCGGACCACAGGCUGUCGUUAGCAAGUACCGUGAGUAUGCAGAAGAAAAGGAAGAAGAUUAUUUGUGGUGGUUAGAUCUUCGCCAUGUACUUUGCAUCGAACUGUAUACGGUGCAAGAUGGAGAGCAGAGAGUAGGAUUCUAUUCCUUGGAGAUGGCUGAAGAUCUUGAACUUGAGCCAAAGCCAUGCCAUGUUAUUGCUUUUGAGGAUGCUGGUGAUUGCAAAAACUUUUGCUAUAUCAUUCAAUCUCAUCUGGAAAUGUUGGGGACUGGCCAUGCGUUUCUUGUCGCACGUCCACCUAAGGAUGCCUUUCGGGAAGCCAAAGCCAUUGGUUUCGGUGUCACAGUCAUUAGAAAAGGUGAGCUUAAGCUCAAUGUGGAUCAAACGCUGGAGGAAGUGGAGGAACAAAUCACUGAAAUCGGUAGCAAAAUGUACCAUGAUAUGAUCAUGAAGGAGCGUUCUGUAGAUAUUAGUUCUUUAAUGAAUGGUGUACUUGGUUUGAGCAACACACCAACAAGGAGAGGAAAAUCAAAACGAAAGUUAAAGAAACUGAAGAAAAAAUGACUAGAAGCCAUGACAUAAAUAUAAGUUGCACAUUCCUGCUGACCGACUCCGACCGUCCGACGAUGCUGAGGGCUGGAAUGGUCGAUCCCGGACAGCAUUUUUGAUGGAAAACUCUCCUGGGUUCUCAUCUUGUUUCAUGCACUUGUGGAGGUGGAGGCGUUUUAUGUCACCAUAGAGACCCUGCUAUCGUUCAGACAAUUGCAGUCAGACAAUUGCAGAUAUGGUUCAAAGCCUGUUGUAACUGACUUACAGAUGGUUUGUACUAGAUUUUACCUCUUCAUGUCCGAUGAAGCCAGUACAUCCCAGAUCGUACAACUUAAAAUGUAUCUAGGAACUCAAUAUUAAAUCAAUCC